rnacentral:rRNA from 1 species
CCCGCGACAGGACGGAAAGACCCCGUGGAGCUUUACUGCAGCCUGAUAUUGAAUGUUGGUACAGCUUGUACAGGAUAGGUAGGAGCCUUGGAAACCGGAGCGCCAGCUUCGGUGGAGGCAUCGGUGUGAUACUACCCUGGCUGUAUUGACCUUCUAACCCGCCGCCCUUAUCGGGCGGGGAGACAGUGUCAGGUGGGCAGUUUGACUGGGGCGGUCGCCUCCUAAAAGGUAACGGAGGCGCCCAAAGGUUCCCUCAGAAUGGUUGGAAAUCAUUCGCAGAGUGUAAAGGCACAAGGGAGCUUGACUG